UAAGGAAUAUUGGUCAAUGGACGCAAGUCUGAACCAGCCAUGCCGCGUGAAGGAUUAAGGCCCUCUGGGUUGUAAACUUCUUUUAUAGGGGAAGAAAUGUGACGGUUCUCCGUCACUUGACGGUACCCUGGGAAUAAGCACCGGCUAACUCCGUGCCAGCAGCCGCGGUAAUACGGAGGGUGCAAGCGUUAUCCGGAUUCACUGGGUUUAAAGGGUGCGUAGGUGGGCAGAUAAGUCAGUGGUGAAAUCUCCGAGCUUAACUUGGAAACUGCCGUUGAUACUAUAGGUCUUGAAUUAUCUGGAGGUAAGCGGAAUAUGUCAUGUAGCGGUGAAAUGCUUAGAUAUGACAUAGAACACCUAUUGCGAAGGCAGCUUACUACAUAUAAAUUGACGCUGAGGCACGAAAGCGUGGGGA
rnacentral:rRNA from 1 species